rnacentral:rRNA from 1 species
GAUGAACGCUAGCGGCAGGCUUAACACAUGCAAGUCGAGGGGUAGAGGAAGCUUGCUUCCUUGAGACCGGCGCACGGGUGCGUAACGCGUAUACAAUCUACCUUUUACAGAGGGAUAGCCCCAGAGAAAUUUGGAUUAAUACCUCAUAGUAUUUUCGGAUCGCAUGAUUUGAUUAUUAAAGUUCCAACGGUAAAGAUGAGUAUGCGUCCCAUUAGCUAGAUGGUAAGGUAACGGCUUACCAUGGCAAUGAUGGGUAGGGGUCCUGAGAGGGAGAUCCCCCCACACUGGUACUGAGACACGGACCAGACUCCUACGGGAGGCAGCAGUGAGGAAUAUUGGACAAUGGGCGCAAGCCUGAUCCAGCCAUGCCCGC